CACCCAAGGAUUCAGACACAGAACCCACAACCCAGGGCCCCUCGGAACGGUGGACUAAAUUUACCAAAGAAGAGCAGAGGCCAACAGCCAAAUGAAGCAGGCAGCAUGACACCCAGGCACUGGCCCAUGCCUACCGCAGAGGCCCAGGCAGUCAGUACACACCAAAGGCCAGCAACAAGGGGACUAACUGACCUCAACCUGGUUGUCCAUGCUAACACCUCCGUCAAUCUCAGCAUGCUAGCACCUCCGUCAAUCUCAGCACAGCUCAGGCUGUUUGGCUCAAGACCACUCAGAUAGAAAGUGGCAUAACUUUAAGCCAGUGCUGUCAACCGUGCCACCUCCCAAAAUGCAAAGGGGCAGGUAGAGAGCUAACGGGAGACCACAUGAAUGCCUCUCCUGGUCUCUUUCCUUCCUGUUUACAGCCUGUUUCACUUCCCCCACCACGCUGAGUGGGGGGUAUGUGUGUAUGUCAGAAAAGGGGGAUCAGUUACCUCAUUAGAAAUCUCCACCCAUUUGAGCUUGCACAUG
rnacentral:lncRNA from 1 species